AAAAAAACUUUGAAACAAUUUAAGGAUAUAAGCAAAGAAAGCAAAUUAACUGAACACAUGUUGCCUUUUGAUCCUUCGAUGUCGGCUCUUCCUAUCAUUGCGAAGCAGAAUUCGCCAAGCGUUGGAUUGUUCACCCACCAACAGGGAACGUGAGCUGGGUUUAGACUGUCGUGAGACAGGUUAGUUUUAC
rnacentral:rRNA from 1 species